rnacentral:lncRNA from 1 species
UUCAAUCAGCAUUCCUUCUCCUUAUUCCUCAUUCAUUUUUUCAUGUCCUUUCUCCCUCUUCAUUUUCAUUCUCAACCUUCUUUCGCAUCUGUUUUUUUUUCCAGACUUCUUUCUUCAUCCUUCGUUCUUCACCUUUCCUUCUUCAUCCUUCGUUCUUCACCUUUCCUUCUUCAUCAUAAGCACAGUUUCUUCAAUCGCAUGUAUUAUCUCUCUCACUCAACAUUCUUUAUCAUCACAUUUUGAGUAUGUAUGUUAUUUUUGUGUUAUUGAGAAUAUUUUUAGUAGAUAAAAAUUAUUUGUUGUUUUUGUAGUAACUUUUACUAAAAAGAUAACAUUUUUAUCUGAAAAGUUAAUAUUUAGUUUCAUUUGAUUCUGUUGCAGCAAUAUCCCAAGGCAUGCAACAUUUUCUUACUAAAUAUUUUUUAAUAGUUUAAUUGCUCUCCUUUAAUUACUAUGUCCUAUUCAACAAACACAAUAUGACACCUAGAUGGAAAACUUGACUCUACUUUGUGGAGAAAGUGUUUUGUAGAUAAUAUCUUGUAUAAAAUUAGCCCCAUUGGAGUCAAUUAUAUUCAUCAGGAAAGCCAACUUUAUUUUAUUCAUGAUUCAAACAUUGUGUGAAUCCUCACUUUUGAAGAUUUACUAGAAAGGUAAAUUUGUUUUGAAGCAACUUUUGAAAUUUUUAUUUGAAUGAUUGUUAUGGAACAAUGGAUUGCAAUGUCUAACAACUGAAAUUAUUACCUUGUGCAUUUUUAUCAAUCAAGCUUACUUUGUGUAUUUUUAUUUGAAAAUAUGCAUGCUUAAUAUCUAACUUAUUUGGUAAAAAUGAAUCAUUUUCAGCAUUUUUUAUCAAUCAAGCUUACUUUGUGCAUUUUUAGUUAGACAUUACAUUUUAAUUAUCUAAGUACUGAACUUUAUUUACUGAAUUUCUAUGAGUCCUUUUUCGUGCGCAUAUGCCCCAAGUUUCUAUCUUUUCAUCUAACUUUCACUCAACAUGUUACUUUUUUCCUUAUUCUUCUUUAACAGUAAGGUUUAGAAGUAAAAGAAGAGUGACAAAGUGUUAUACAUAGAAGCUCAAGAGACAUAGGAGAAAAAUCACCUACCAAUGGACCAACUUCAAUGGGUGCAUCAAAGAGCAAGACACUUUAUAUUUUUGAAAUUGAAGAAGUAGUAGUCCAUCCUCCAGUCGCCACACGCCAAAACUAUCAUCAUUGGUACUAUCACCGAGCCGUCAUAACACUCAGGUUAGUCAUUUUGAUAUAACUAUCUUAUCAUUUUAGAAAAAUGAUAUAUCACUUUUAAAAUCAACCCAUAUCAUCACUGACACUUUUUCACUAGAAGGUGUGAAAAGAAGAUAUAUGUAUAUAAAUAUUUCAGCAAUUUAACUUGCUUCAACUUUGCAUGCAUCUCUAUAAUUCAUUAUGGUGGCAACUGUUGUUAUUGUUUCGUUUUUCCCUUUAUAUGUCCCAUAAUUUGUUUUUUUAUUACUCAUUUUGUUAUAACUAUCUUAUCAUUUUAGAUAAAAAUGAUUUAUCUCUUAUAAAAUCAACUCAUAACUUUAAAAGAUGACAUAAUGAGCAGCAAUCUAAAAUAAAACAUAAUCAUUCAAGAGAUAUGCUAAAAAAAUUCUUAUAAAUUCAUAUGCUACUUAUAAACGUAAUCCCAAAAAAAUAUAGUGCAUAAAUAAGUCAUUAUAUUUAUAUAGAGAAUAUAGUUGUGAUAUAUUAUCCUAUACAAUUUGAAUUUUAUUUGUUACGAGUUAUUUUAGAGAAAUUUUUUGUUGUUUAUUAAAUGCAAAUGGUCAAUUAAUAAUAAAUCAAACAAUUCAUGGAAAGAUAGUAAUUGCAAAUAGUAGAUUUAUGUUGAUGUUUAGUUUAACAUCCAUGUGAGAUUCUUGUGAUUAAUGAGUGAUAUAUUAUCGAUAAAGUUGAGUUGUAGUUGUCAAUGUAUUAGGAGAUGUAGGACUUGGAUGUUUUUAUAUCACAAAAUAAAUUAUUUUUUGUUAUUGACUUUGGACACAAUGGUGAAAAUAAGAUACGAAAUAAUGCAAGAAUGAUUAAUAAAGUAAAAGAAUCUUUACUUACUAACUAAUUUAGAGUGAGUUAGAAUAAUAAGUUUUAACUGUGUGAUAUUAAAAUUGAUGUUAAACCUCACAAAAAAUCAAUGUAAUGUUAAUGAUCUCAAGUAUGUGUUCAAGUUAUAAGUGCUUAUGUUUUAAACAAAACAUGUCUGAUAGGGAUUUUAAUGGAUAUUCUUGGGCAUAACGUAUGUCAAUGUUUUAUAUACUAAAGUUGUUAUGAGUGUAUUUUUAUUUAUUUUGGAAAUAAAAAUGUAAAAAAAGUACGCGCAUUGAAUAAAAUAG